rnacentral:sRNA from 3 species
GCACCAGCAAAAUCUGGUGCCGGGAUUGGCGUCCUGCAAAUAUCCACAGCGCACAACCGCGCUAAAUGCGGUUUUUUU